rnacentral:piRNA from 1 species
UAAUCCAGUCUCUCAGCCACAAUCCC